GACGAACGCUGGCGGCGUGCUUAACACAUGCAAGUCGAACGGAAAGGCCCUGCUUUUGUGGGGUGCUCGAGUGGCGAACGGGUGAGUAACACGUGAGUAACCUGCCCUUGACUUUGGGAUAACUUCAGGAAACUGGGGCUAAUACCGGAUAGGAGCUCCUGCUGCAUGGUGGGGGUUGGAAAGUUUCGGCGGUUGGGGAUGGACUCGCGGCUUAUCAGCUUGUUGGUGGGGUAGUGGCUUACCAAGGCUUUGACGGGUAGCCGGCCUGAGAGGGUGACCGGCCGCCUUGGCACCGAGGGGAGGCACAGGUUGGUACGGUAGGCAGCAGUGGGGAAUCCUGAACCAGCGGCGGAACGCUGAUGAAGAAGCCCCGCGUGCGGGAUAACGGCCUUCGGGUUAUAGAACGCUUUCGCCUGAAUCCCCGGCUGAGCGAAGGUAAUCGAUAGAGUAGCCACGGCUAAAUACCUG
rnacentral:rRNA from 1 species